rnacentral:lncRNA from 1 species
UUUUCAAACGGUCGUUUGCUUAAAGUUUCGCUUAGAUUAGAGUGAGUUAGCACUUUUUCACGUAGAAAAACACACACAAAAGACUCAAACUGUGCGACUAAAAAAAUACACGUAGUCGUUUUUCGCAAUCACUCAGUAUAUGACGAUAUACGAAAAAAGGCGCGGGUGACGACAGAUAUCGGAAUAAAACAGUUGUUAACUGACUAAUCGUACGUUAAUCAAAUGAACCACCUUAUUGUGCCAACAAAUUCCAAAUGCAAAGUGCCGGUGUUUAUUAUAGAGUGCCAAUCGAAUUGGCCGUUUAAGCAAAUGUGACUGUUUAGUAGUGAUGGUGUGUUAAAAGGUGGUUUCCGGGCUCAGGAGUGAUCGGCAGUUCCUGGGUGGUUAAGGAUCCGCAAUCGGAAAAUGCGGACGUAAAGCCGGAACGAUUGGUGUGCGUCCGGCGUGCCCAAAGCGGCGCACUCCGGGUGGCAUCGUCGUAGGCGCCCGCAGUGGCGUGCUGCGGGGAUGGCGCUAGCGGCCGGCAGGUGACGGGCGGCGUAGCGGCGGGGCGCAGGCGACUCAGUGGCGGACCCGCUGCUCGUCGCCGUUGCGGGCUAUGCUGGGCGCUGGUGACAAGCGCCCUGCGACGCGCCGUCUGCGGCGCAGGAAGCAGACGAUCCUCCGACGACUCCUACCAGGAGCUGCAGCCUGCGCAUCAUCCCGAGGAGGAGCAGGUGCCAACCGUAAGUCGCUGUACAGGGUGGGCCACUAAGAGAGGUGGUCGGCCGUAUCUCACAAACUAUUAGUCGCAUCGAUUUCAAGUAAA